ACAAACUUGGUCAUUUAGAGGAAGUAAAAGUCGUAACAAGGUUUCCGUAGGUGAACCUGCGGAAGGAUCAUCAGAGAUUCGGGGUAUGCGUCUCGCGCCCCACCAAUCUUGUGUGAACUGUGUGUAGUCCUACGUCGUGUGGUGAUUGGCGGUCGGGGAGACUCGCCGCCGCCGCCAUGCGAGCACAACCAACUCUGCUAACUUUGCCUAACCUUGCACACUCAAUUAACACAACUUUUAACAAUGGAUCUCUUGGCUCUCGCAUCGAUGAAGAACGCAGC
rnacentral:misc_RNA from 1 species